GUGCGCGAAGGCACACGGCACCAUCCCUCCCCUCUCGCCUUUCGCUCUUCCCCCGAAAGUCUUUAUGUCUCUCCGCGUCGUGGAUGUCUGUGGUCGUGCCGCAGGCCGCCUGAUCCUUGUCGGCGACAUUCACGGCUGUCUCGACCAACUGCGGGAGCUUCUUGUAAAGGCUCACUUCACCAAUGCAGUUGUUCGGCGCUGCCCCACCCUGCUGACGUCGUCGUCGGCAUCGCCGCUCUCCAGAGCUGAACCUCUGCCUUCUCGUGGCGGUGGCGCGAGCAUGUGCAUCCCGGCUGCUCUGAAUCCAGGUCCGUUGGGAGAAUCAGCCUCGCCAUCAGCCGAGGAUGGUGCUGUGGAGGAUGUCUGCGUUUUCGUCGGUGACCUUGUGAACAAAGGCCCCGAUUCGUACGGCGUCGUGCGGUUCCUGCGCGACAUCGGUGCGAUUGGCGUACUGGGGAAUCACGACGCGGCGCUGCUGCAGCUCGCCGAGAAGCUUCGGGCGGAUGUUCCGCUGACGGACAAGGAGGCGAGCAGCAGCCUCUACCCGCUGGCAUUGCAAUGCCCCGACGACGUCUUUGCCUUCAUGGUGUCUGUUCCCCACAUUCUGUGUUUCCAUGCCUAUCGGCUCAUCGUUGUCCAUGCGGGCAUCGAUCCGUCGAUCUCGCUUGCUGCCCAGAGCGUCGAGGCUGUAACGCGCAUGCGUAACCUGGUAAAGGCCAAAAAGUACUGGAGGCAGCCGACCGAUGAGGCCACGGGGCAGCCAGCGCACGUGGCCCUCUCUGUUUCUGCCGCCUUUGCGACACUGGAGCGGCCUAGACUCGGUGCAAAUUGGGGCGUGAAGUGGUCGGAGCUGGCCCGCAAACUGCAAGGUUCUGUGGCCGGCGAGGAGGCGAGCGACGGCGGCAGAAGCGACAGCAGCAGUGACCGAAGCCGCGACCACAGCCGUAGCGGUGCAAGUGGCACCGUCGAUGGUGCAGACGACAGUGGGAAGAAGAAGCCAAAGAAGGCAGAUGAGGAUGCGCCGAAGUGGCGAAGGCGCAUUCAUCGAGACUACACCGAUUUCACUGUCGUGUACGGCCACGACGCCAAGCGGCGGCUGCAGGUGUAUCCGUACGCCUACGGGCUCGAUUCCGGUUGCGUCUACGGUGGCGAGCUGACGGGGCUGGUGUGGCCGAGCACGCUGGUGUCUGUGCCAGGGUGGACGGACCCCUCGCCGCCGCGCAAGUCGAAGGUGUGAGGUACACAGGUGAAUAAAAGCAGGCAGGCAAGAAAAUGCCCCCAAGAGAAGGCGCGACACGGGACGGAGGAAGGGGGCGGGGUGGGGGCGCAUGUGCGAGAGAGAAGCGCAGGCGAAGGCAAGUUUGCAUUACUGCGCACGUCUUUCUGUCUGUUCGUCUCUGUGCGCUUUCCUUCCUUUCCCCUUGCGCGCUCGCGUGUCUGUCUUGGGUUUCUGCUCUGUGCAUGCGUUAUUGCCCGCCCGUGUGCGGCAACAUCGUAGCCCACACGCCUGCGGGUACGCGCACCUUCUUUUCUUUUCCGCCGCAUCAGCCGAAGGUGGAGAAGGUGUUUGUAGUGAUGGGGCAGAAGAGGAUGAUGGAUGGCGUAUCGUCACAUUCGUUUCUGUGUGUAUGUCUGCUGGUGGUCUCGCUGCAUGCGCCGAUUCACUGAUGCACCGCAGUGCCGACGUACGCACGAGAUAUAGGGGAGGAGGGCAAGAGAGAAAGAAGAGCGUGAUUGUGCGUAUGCAUGUGGGGGUGCUGUUUCUUUUGGUAUUCGAGGACCACCGCUGCGCAACGCUCCUCCCCUUCCAGGCGAUGAGGAUAUUAGCAGGUGGGAAGGCUGAGCUCUUCCUACGUAGAAAAGAGGGGGACUCACGCACUGGGGUGCGUGUCUGCGCAGGAGCCGCAAAUACAUUCUCGCUUGUGCACCACUCUCCUCACGUGUCUUCCUGCUGCUGGUGCUGCUUCUGCCUCGCCAUUGGAACUCUUCUCUCUUGCGCUCCUUUCCGCCUUUACUCGCGCUCUUGGCUAUCUUCAUUCUCUGACACGCGUAG
rnacentral:misc_RNA from 1 species